AUCUCAUAUUUUGAAAAACAAGCUGGUAAAUUCCACAUUUUACAUAGAAAUGUUUGCAGGCAUGCUUUAAGCACAAAUCUGUGGGUAUGAGCUGUUGAUAAAUGA